GCCGAUGUGGUGAAACUGGUAUACACGCCUGCCUUAGGAGCAGGUUCCUUCGGGAGUGAGAGUUCGAGUCUCUCCAUCGGCA
rnacentral:tRNA from 1 species